rnacentral:lncRNA from 1 species
AUGUGGAACGUGCCAGUGGGGAUCACCCUGACCAGAGUACUUGCAAGAGCGAGCGGAAGGCCGGGGGGGAACCGUGGUACGGGCCGCGUGAAUGGCACGGAAGUUGUUUCCGCCGUCUGUGCUGCCACCGUGUGGUCAAUCCGCGGCAGUGCCGCUGUCUCGGUUUGGUGUGGCAGGCAGCAGGACGCAUGCGCAUGGGUAUGCGGAAGUGGCGCGUGUCCGUUGUGGUCGCUCUGCGUAGCUAACCCGCCAAUCUCUAGUGUGCUUAGUCCUCCAGGCGGCAGUGCGCAUGCACCCGAGAGCGUACGCGCGGCACCCGUUUCUCCGAGGCGCUGAGGUGCGGUCGAGCAGA